rnacentral:lncRNA from 1 species
GGAUUGGGUUGUGUUGGUGUGGUAUUGAAAUAGAAGGGAAAGAAGUGAGUUAACAGGGUGUUUAGGACUGGGGACUGGCAGCAAACAAUUUAUAUAUUGUUGUGACUUUAUGUAAGUCAUAGGCUCAUAAAUUUUUUUAUUUACAUAUUUUAGCAUCAUAGAUUUAGAGUUAGAGUUAGAAAGGACCUUAGAGACCAAUCUGGUCAACCUUCUAAUUUCUCAUCUGAUGACUGGGGUGGGCACGUUACUAAGCACCGGGGAUACAAAAAAGAAAAAGAAAGAUGGUUCCUUCCAUAUAAGCUUUAAGGGGAAGACAACACACACAAGAAAGAAGAUGUUAAGACCCUCUCUGAGUCUCAAAAUUCAGUCCUAAAUUCAAUGAGCAGUGAAGAGCUGAAAUGAAAUCCUGCUUCAGGCACUGGGUAAGUCAUGAGACCUCU